rnacentral:rRNA from 1 species
GACGAACGCUGGCGGCGUGCUUAACACAUGCAAGUCGAACGGAAAGGCCCUGCUUUUGUGGGGUGCUCGAGUGGCGAACGGGUGAGUAACACGUGAGUAACCUGCCCUUGACUUUGGGAUAACUUUAGGAAACUGGGGCUAAUACCGGAUAGGAGCUCCUGCUGCAUGGUGGGGGUUGGAAAGUUUCGGCGGUUGGGGCUGGACUCGCGGCUUAUCAGCUUGGUGGUGGGGUAGUGGCUUACCAAGGCUUUGACGGGUAGCCUGCCUGGGCGGGUGACCAGCGCCAAGAGGACUAAGGUACGGCCCAGACGCCUACGGGAGGCAGCAGUGGAAAAUAUUGCGCAAUGGGCGGAAGCCUGAUGCAACAGCGCCGCGUGCGGAAUAACGGCCUUCGGGUUGUAAACCACUUUCGCCUUUGACGAAGCGUGAGUGACGGUAAUGGGUAAAAAAGCACCGGCUAACUACGUG